rnacentral:lncRNA from 1 species
AAGAAAUGAGAAAAGAGAAAUUAAAAAAAAAGGAAAAAAUGGGAAAAGAAAAAGAAAUAAAAUGAUUGAGCAAAAAAAUGAAAAAAUGAAAGGAAAAAUGCCUCAAAGUGAAUCCUUUAAAUGAAAAACAAUGAUCAUUGGUUUAAUCACCCUUAAAGCCCAAUGCUCUACCAACUGAGCUAUACACCCAAAAAAAGAUUGAGUAGUAAAUAAGGAUUGGUGCGGAAAAGAAAAGAGGGCGGCCCCUCUUCUUCUCAUCAUAUUAAAGGGGCUUGGGCUCUAAAGCCGGCCUUACUCAACAAGCACCUUCAUUAGUAAGGUUGCUUGUUUCCACUCAUUGAAGAUUCUAUCUAAAAAAGAAGGUCAACGGGGGAUACUAAAGUUGCUCUCACUGACACCAUCUACGAGAAGGUGAGGUCGUCUUUCUUUCCAGCCAUCAUACGGUUCGCCUUAAAGCCUUAAGGACACUUAUUUUGGGCUUAUCUAUUCCUUUCUUUAGAAAUCCCAAGCCUUAGCCCACAUUACAUCUUUAGAAAAGUCAAUAUUGGAUCAAGUGUGAAUGCUUAAAAUUGAAUAGUUUCUCUUUGAGGAACGACUAUAAAAUCAAUAAACCUUUUUCUUCUUUCUUUAUUACCUAAUUACCUAUUUCCACCAUUAGCUCAUUUUGUGUAAGUUUGAGUUCUUAAGUGCAAGAUGUAAUCAUAAAAAAAAUAAAA